rnacentral:lncRNA from 13 species
GUGUAGGGAGUUCCCUCUGAAGAGACACACACACACAGAGAUAUUAGUAUAAAAACACAGAUUACCAAUCUAAGUCUCUCUUUCUUGUGUCUCUUUGUGUGUUUUUAUUGAACCUUUAUUUAACUAGGCAAGUUAGUUAUAAUGACAGCCUACCCCAGCCAAACCCAGAUGACACUGGGCCAAUUGUGCACCACCCACCAAAUCACAGCCAGAUGUGACACAGUCUGGAUUCAAACCAGGGACUGUAGUGACACCUCUUGCACUGAGAUGCAGUGCAUUAGACCACUGCGCCACUCUGGAUUUCACUCUGUACAAAACAUUAGGAACACCGUCCUAAUAUUGAGUUGGCCUCAGAACAGCCUCAAUUCGUUUGGGCAUGGACUACAAGGUGUCGAAAGUGUUCCACAGGGAUGCUGGCCCCUGUUGAUUCCAAUGCUUCCCACAGUUGUGUCAAGAUGGCUGGAUGUCCUUUGGGUGGUGGACCAUUCUUGACCCACACGGGAAACUGUUGAGCGUGAAAUACCCAGCAUCGUUGCAGUUCUUGACUCAAACUGGUGCGCCUGGCACCUACUACCAUACCCUGUUCAAAGGCACUUAAAUAUUUAGUCUUGAUCAUUAACCCUUUGAAUGACACACACACACAAUCCAUGUCUCAAUUGUCUCAAGGCUUUAAAAUCCUUCUUUAACCUGUCUCCUCCCCUUCAUCUACACUGAUUUAAGUGGAUUUUACAGGUGACAUCAUUAAGGGAUCAUAGCGUUCACCUGGAUUCACCUGGUCAGUCUAUUUCAUGGAAAGAGCAGAGCUGUGUUCGAAUACUCAUACUAACCGCACUAUUUGUGACAUGAGUAUGGAGUUUGUAGUAUGCUCAUUGGUCAUAGUGUGGACAUAGUUAGUAUGCUCAUUGGUCAUAGUAUGGAUAUAGUUAGUAUGCUCAUUGGUCAUAGUGUGGACAUAGUUAGUAUGGAUAUAGUUAGUAUGCUUAUUGGUCAUAGUAUGGAUAUAGUCAGUAUGCUCAUUGGUCAUAGUAUGGAUAUAGUCAGUAUGCUUAUUGGUCAUAGUAUGGAUAUAGUCAGUAUGCUUAUUGGUCAUAGUAUGGAUAUAGUUAGUAUGGAUAUAGUUAGUAUGGAUAUAGUCAGUAUGCUUAUUGGUCAUAGUAUGGAUAUAGUCAGUAUGUCAGAACUCUCGAAUGUCGUACUACAUUUUCCAAAAUACGAAGUACACAAGCAGUGGACACUAUUCCCGUGCUUUUAGGGCGCUUAAUGCAAUUCUUCAGAAAAUAGGCGUGGCUUCACAACGUUUUCAGAUUUGAAGAAAAUGGCAGAAUAUAUGCAACCCGAAGUCCGAUGAGUAAUGAUUUUUCAAAUAAGUUAUGUUACAUGUUAUGUUGGCUGACAAUUCAUUAGCAACGCUGUCCUUACGGACAACAGAGCGGUAUGUCCGGUUACAGUGCCUUGCGAAAGUAUUCGGCCCCCUUGAACUUUGCGACCUUUUGCCACAUUUCAGGCUUCAAACAUAAAGAUAUAAAACUGUAUUUUUUUGUGAAGAAUCAACAACAAGUGGGACACAAUCAUGAAGUGGAACGACAUUUAUUGGAUAUUUCAAACUUUUUUAACAAAUCAAAAACUGAAAAAUUGGGUGUGCAAAAUUAUUCAGCCCCCUUAAGUUAAUACUUUGUAGCGCCACCUUUUGCUGCGAUUACAGCUGUAAGUCGCUUGGGGUAUGUCUUGGAUUGGAUUCAGGUCUGGACUUUGACUUGGCCAUUCUAACACCUGGAUAUGUUUAUUUUUCAACCAUUCCAUUGUAGAUUUUGCUUUAUGUUUUGGAUCAUUGUCUUGUUGGAAGACAAAUCUCCGUCCCAGUCUCAGGUCUUUUGCAGACUCCAUCAGGUUUUCUUCCAGAAUGGUCCUGUAUUUGGCUCCAUCCAUCUUCCCAUCAAUUUUAACCAUCUUCCCUGUCCCUGCUGAAGAAAAGCAGGCCCAAACCAUGAUGCUGCCACCACCAUGUUUGACAGUGGGGAUGGUGUGUUCAGCUGUGUUGCUUUUACGCCAAACAUAACGUUUUGCAUUGUUGCCAAAAAGUUCAAUUUUGGUUUCAUCUGACCAGAGAACCUUCUUCCACAUGUUUGGUGUGUCUCCCAGGUGGCUUGUGGCAAACUUUAANNNNNNNNNNAUGGCUUUCUUCUUGCCACUCUUCCAUAAAGGCCAGAUUUGUGCAAUAUACGACUGAUUGUUGUCCUAUGGACAGAGUCUCCCACCUCAGCUGUAGAUCUCUGCAGUUCAUCCAGAGUGAUCAUGGGCCUCUUGGCUGCAUCUCUGAUCAGUCUUCUCCUUGUAUGAGCUGAAAGUUUAGAGGGACGGCAAGGUCUUGGUAGAUUUGCAGUGGUCUGAUACUCCUUCCAUUUCAAUAUUAUCGCUUGCACAGUGCUCCUUGGGAUGUUUAAAGCUUGGGAAAUCUUUUUGUAUCCAAAUCCGGCUUUAAACUUCUUCACAACAGUAUCUCGGACCUGCCUGGUGUGUUCCUUGUUCUUCAUGAUGCUCUCUGCACUUUUAACGGACCUCUGAGACUAUCACAGUGCAGGUGCAUUUAUACGGAGACUUGAUUACACACAGGUGGAUUGUAUUUCUCAUCAUUAGUCAUUUAGGUCAACAUUGGAUCAUUCAGAGAUCCUCACUGAACUUCUGGAGCGAGUUUGCUGCACUGAAAGUAAAGGGGCUGUAUAAUUUUGCACGCCUAUUUUUCAGUUUUUGAUUUGUUAAAAAAGUUUGAAAUAUCCAAUAAAUGCCGUUCCACUUCAUGAUUGUGUCCCACUUGUUGUUGAUUCUUCACAAAAAAAUACAGUUUUAUAUCUUUAUGUUUGAAGCCUGAAAUGUGGCAAAAGGUCGCAAAGUUCAAGGGGGCCGAAUACUUUCGCAAGGCACUGUAUGUUAGCUAGCUCAAAAUUAAACUCAGGUGCAUCCUGUUUCCAUUGAUCAUCCUUGAGAUGUAUCUACAACAUGAUUGGAGUCCACCUGUGGUAAAUUAUAUUGUUUGGACAUUAUUUGGAAAGGCACACACCUAUGAGGUCUCACAGUUGACAGUGUAUGUCAGAGCAAAAACCAAGCCAUGAGGUCAAAGGAAUUGUCCGUAGAGCUCCGAGACAGAAUUGUGUUGAGGCACAGAUCUGGGAAGGAUACCUAAAGAUUUCUGCAGCAUUUAAGAUCCCCAAGAACACAGUGACCUCCAUCAUUCUUAAAUGAAAGAAGUUUGUAGCCACCAAUACUCUUCCUAGAGCUGGCCGCCUGGCCAAAUUGAGCAGUAGGGGGAGAAGGGCCUUGGUCAGGGAGGAGACCAAGAACCCAAAGGUCACUCUGACAGAGCCCCAGAGUUUCUCUGUGGAGAUUGGAGAGCCUUUGGCCUGAAUGCCAAGCGUCUGGAGGAAACCUGGCACCAUCCCUACGGUGAAGCAUGGUGGUGGCAGAAUCAUGCUGUGGGAAUGUUUUGUAAGUGGCAGGGACUGGGAGACUAGUCAAGAUGAGUCAGGAUUGAGGAAAAGAUGAACAGAGCAAAGUACAGAGAGAUCCUAGAUGAAAACCUGCUCCAGAGCACUCAGGACCUCACACUGGGGCGAAGGUUCACCUUCCAACAGGACAACGCAGAAGUGUUUUCGGGACAAGUCUCUGAAUGUCCUUGAGUGGCCCAGCCAAAGCCCGGAUUUGAACCCGAUCUAACAUCUUUGGAGAGAACUGAAAAUAGCUGUGCAGCAACGCUCCCUAUCCAACCUGACAGAGCUUGAGAGGAUCUGCAGAGAAGAAUGGGAGGAACUCCACAAAUACAGGUGUGCCAGGCUUGUAGCGUCAUACCCAAGAAGACUCUAGGCUGUAAUCGCUGCCAAAGGUGUUUCAACAAAGUACUGAGUAAAGGCUCUGAAUACUUACGUAAAUGUGACAUUCCUGUUUUUGCUUUGUCAUUAUGGGGUAUUGUGUGUAGAUUGAUGAGGGGGAAAAAUAAUGUAAUAAAUUGUGGGAAAAGUCAAGAGGUUUGAAGACUUUCUGAAGGCACUGUAUAUGAGACAGGAGAAGAUGGCUUUCCUAUUUAUUUUAAAUAACGUUCACAAUAUAAGGAUAUUGGACUUCUCUUCUGUUGUUUAUGAUAAAACCCCAAAUUGAAAAUGCUAAGAAUAUUAUAAUUGAAGAGAACCAGUAAAGGGAGGAGAGGAGUAAGAAACAACAAUGGUUAUCUCUGAAACACACAAUAUCUCUCUGUCUCACGUAGGUGACAACGGUUAUCUCUGAAACACACAAUAUCUCUCUGUCUCACGUAGGUGACAACGGUUAUCUCUGAAACACACAAUAUCUCUCUGUCUCACGUAGGUGACAACGGUUAUCUCUGAAACACACAAUAUCUCUCUGUCUCACGUAGGUGACAACGGUUAUCUCUGAAACACACAAUAUCUCUCUGUCUCACGUAGGUGACAACGGUUAUCUCUGAAACACACAAUAUCUCUCUGUCUCACGUAGGUGACAACGGUUAUCUCUGAAACACACAAUAUCUCUCUGUCUCACGUAGGUGACAACGGUUAUCUCUGAAACACACAACAUCUCUCUGUCUCACGUAGGUGACAACGGUUAUCUCUGAAACACACAAUAUCUCUCUGUCUCACGUAGGUGACAACGGUUAUCUCCGAAACACACAAUAUCUCUCUGUCUCACGUAGGUGACAACGGUUAUCUUCCCUGAGCUGCUCAGAGAGAGAACAGGGGUAAAACAGAAUGCAUAGAAACAUGUGAGAGAGUCAGAAUACAGAUCUGAAGGAUUUCAAAUCAGACUGUAUAAUUACUAA